UACGUAGGGGGCAAGCGUUAUCCGGAUUUACUGGGUGUAAAGGGGGUGCAGACGGCGAUGCAAGCCAGGAGUGAAAGCCCGGGGCCCAACCCCGGGACUGCUCUUGGGACUGCGUGGCUGGAGUGCAGGAGGGGCAGGCGGAAUUCCUGGUGUAGCGGUGAAAUGCGUAGAUAUCAGGAGGAACACCGGUGGCGAAGGCGGCCUGCUGGACUGCAACUGACGUUGAGGCCCGAAAGCGUGGGGAGCAAACAGG
rnacentral:rRNA from 1 species